rnacentral:rRNA from 1 species
GACGAACGCUGGCGGCGUGCCUAAUACAUGCAAGUAGAACGCUGAAGGAGGAGCUUGCUUCUCUGGAUGAGUUGCGAACGGGUGAGUAACGCGUAGGUAACCUGCCUGGUAGUGGGGGAUAACUAUUGGAAACGAUAGCUAAUACCGCAUAAUAGCAGUUGUUGCAUGAUAACUGUUUGAAAGGUGCAAUUGCACCGCUACCAGAUGGACCUGCGUUGUAUUAGCUAGUUGGUGGGGUAACGGCUCACCAAGGCGACGAUACAUAGCCGACCUGAGAGGGUGAUCGGCCACACUGGGACUGAGACACGGCCCAGACUCCUACGGGAGGCAGCAGUAGGGAAUCUUCGGCAAUGGACGGAAGUCUGACCGAGCAACGCCGCGUGAGUGAUGAAGGUUUUCGGAUCGUAAAGCUCUGUUGUAAGAGAAGAACGAGUGUGAGAGUGGAAAGUUCACACUGUGACGGUAUCUUACCAGAAAGGGACGGCUAACUACGUG